CUUCAGCAGAGACUCCAAAAAAACCUCGUCGAGGGCCAGAUGAUCGGUGGGUAGGGCAUCCACCCCAGAGGGUGGCAGGUCCACCUCGGAGUCACACUCGGGGCACAGCACGGUGACGGUGUGCUGGUCGCGGAGAGCCGCCAGCACAGCCAGGGAUGGAGAGAGAUAAGGAGACUCAGCCACUUAGGCAGCAGCAUUGGCGACGUGCUAAAGCCAAAGGUGAUACAGACCCCCAGAAGAUGAUCUGCCCGAUUGAGGCCAUGGUGUCCUGCGGGCUGUCUCAAUGCCGUGUGAUCGUCAGGGAGCUUGCUGUGUGGCGUCUGGCAGGAGCCUGAACAGGAGAAGGAGUGAGCUUCUCAUCCCCCUCUCCAGGUUCACAGUACUCCUCCUGUGUCAAUAUUGUCUUUUUGAAGGUGUGGGCCUGGCAUGCCCUCACUGUGCAACCCUCAACAUAAGUGACGGCUUUCAGGAGCAGGAGGAAUACAAAAUGAAGCACAUUUUUCGUAGGUAAGGCAGGUAGUCAAGUCACUGCAGCUGGUGAAAAGCAGCGACAGAAAAACAGCAAGCAACGUCAAGCAUGAUGGCAAAAAAAAAAAAAAAC